AAUGACACUCCAAUGGGCGGCAGUUGCAAAUUUUCUUUACGCUGAAAUAGGACUCAUUUUAAUCUUCUGUCUACCUUUUAUUCCUCCUCAGAGAUGGCAGAAGAUAUUUUCCUUUAGCGUUUGGGGUAAAAUUGCAAGUUUCUAGAACAAGGCUUUUCUUACUAUUAUAAUCUUAUUGAUUGUUCUGUUUCUAGAUGCUGUUGAGAGAAGUAAGAAAAUAUUCCUCGACUCAUACUAUUGAAAAGAGCUCAGCCAACAGACCUGCUGCCUAUGAACAUAUACAAAUGAAACUCUUCAGGUCUCAAAGAAAUCUUUACAUUUCUGGAUUUUCAUUAUUUUUCUGGUUAGUGUUGAGACGUCUGGUUACCCUUAUUACUCAGCUGGCAAAAGAGCUGUCAAACAAAGGAGUGCUUAAAUGUCAAGUAGAAAAUAUUAACCAGGCUGCCAAAAACUUCAUGGAAGAAAAUGAAAGACUGAAACGGCUCUUGAAAAACUAUGGCAAGGAAGAAGAACACGUUUUGGAAGCAGAAAAUAAAAAACUAGAAGACAAUGAAAAACUGAAAACUGAGUUAAAGAAGGCUUCAGAUGCCCUUUCUAAGGCACAAAAUGACGUGAUGAUAAUGAAGAUGCAAUCAGAGAGACUUUCAAAAGAGUAUGACCGGCUCCUGAGAGAACACUCAGGACUUCAGGAUCGUGCAGGGCAAGACAAGAAAUGUCGGUGAACUUUAUGGAAGAAGAUUUUGUGAAAACACCAUGUCAAGAAGAAAAAUGUAUUAUCAUGUUAGCCUCUAGAAAAUUUAAAAUUCAGUUCAGAAAAACAUACUAUGACCAGCCAUUAUUUUUUUUAAUGCCACACACACAGACUUAUCAUAAUGGCAUUAUCCCAGUAUUGAUGAUGUUUCAGAUACACUGUAAAGCCUGUAUUCCAGCUCUUAAAUAAAAUAUAAGCAUGUUAAACACCUUAUUUAGAUACUGAUAGUAACACUGGUGUAUGGUGGCUGAAAGAGUGAAACAUGAAAACAGUGACCUUAAGUGCUUUUUUUUAAGCCUGAUGGUACUAGUUAACUCUUUCAAGACAGCUGUAUUGAUAAUUAUAUUUUCAGUAUUGUGUUUCUGCACCUGUUAAACUAUUUUUGCUGACAUUUGUGUUAAUAACACAUAAUUAGUAGGCAUUCCGCUUUUUUAAUGUUCAUCUGGGAAUGGGGUUUACAUCAAUUUGCAUCACUGCCAUAGCACUGAACUGAAAUUAUUUUACAACAAUGUGGAAUUCUUGAGAUAGAAAGUUUAUGUAUAAUGUAUCCAAAAAGCAGUGUUUCCCAUUGCUGUAAGAGUUGCUAAUUAUACAGAUAUUACCUCAUAUAUACAUACACUGGUGCCACAGUUUCUCUGAGGUGUUUCUAUAUUCUGAAAGCUACAUAUUAAAUACUACUUUCCAUUCA